GACGAACGCUGGCGGCGUGCCUAAUACAUGCAAGUAGAACGCUGAAGGAGGAGCUUGCUCUUCUGGAUGAGUUGCGAACGGGUGAGUAACGCGUAGGUAACCUGCCUGGUAGCGGGGGAUAACUAUUGGAAACGAUAGCUAAUACCGCAUAAGAGUAGAUGUUGCAUGACAUUUACUUAAAAGGUGCAAUUGCAUCACUACCAGAUGGACCUGCGUUGUAUUAGCUAGUUGGUGGGGUAACGGCUUACCAAGGCGACGAUACAUAGCCGACCUGAGAGGGUGAUCGGCCACACUGGGACUGAGACACGGCCCAGACUCCUACGGGAGGCAGCAGUAGGGAAUCUUCGGCAAUGGACGGAAGUCUGACCGAGCAACGCCGCGUGAGUGAAGAAGGUUUUCGGAUCGUAAAGCUCUGUUGUAAGAGAAGAACGAGUGUGAGAGUGGAAAGUUCACACUGUGACGGUAUCUUACCGGAAAGGGACGGCUAACUACGUG
rnacentral:rRNA from 1 species